AAUUCAUAAUAUCUAAUAAAAUUUUUAGAUUUAGCUAACAAAGUCCUUAUAUUUGCAUAAAGUAACAUUCGUUUAUAGUGGAAAAUUGUUUUAACGUUGAAUAAGCUUCAAUUAAAAAUUGCUUGCUAGUCCCUCUCUGUGAUUACCAUUAGAUAACUCUAGUUCAUUUCCCAAUCAAUCUAUCAUCAAGGGAAGAUAAAUAAUGCAAUAUUCAUCCAAAGUCUUUUUCAAAAAUGAUAAACGGUUUUUUAUAUUGGUAUGUAAUCAUUUUAAAGGUUUCACAUAUGAAAUUAUAUUCGUACAUCAAUGUUUUUGAUACACCAAUAACAAAAACUGAAAUAUAUUGAAUUGAUACAUUU
rnacentral:lncRNA from 1 species